AUUGAACGCUGGCGGCAGGCCUAACACAUGCAAGUCGAGCGAGCGGCGGACGGGUGAGUAAUGUAUGGGGACUGCCCGAUAGAGGGGGCUAACUACUGGAAACGGUGGCUAAUACCGCCUACUCUCGGAUACCCCAUAUGGGAUUAGCUAGUAGGUGGGGUAAAGGCUCACCUAGGCGACGAUCUCUAGCUGGUCUGAGAGGAUGAUCAGCAACACUGGAACUGAGACACGGCCCAGACUCCUACGGAGGCAGCAGUGGGGAAUAUUGCACAAUGGGCGAAAGCCUGAUGCAGCCAGGCCGCGUGGAUGAAGAAGGCCUUAGGGUUGUAAAGUACGUUCAGCGGGGAGGCGUUACCCGCAGAAGAAGCACCGGCUAACUCCGUGCCAGCAGCCGCGGUAAUAC
rnacentral:rRNA from 1 species